rnacentral:rRNA from 1 species
CCUACGGGCGGCAGCAGUGGGGAAUAUUGGACAAUGGGGGGAACCCUGAUCCAGCCAUGCCGCGUGUGUGAAGAAGGCCCUCGGGUUGUAAAGCACUUUCAGUGAGGAAGAACGCCUGGUGGUUAAUACCCAUCAGGAAAGACAUCACUCACAGAAGAAGCACCGGCUAACUCCGUGCCAGCAGCCGCGGUAAUACGGAGGGUGCGAGCGUUAAUCGGAAUUACUGGGCGUAAAGCGCGCGUAGGUGGCUUGAUAAGCCGGUUGUGAAAGCCCCGGGCUCAACCUGGGAACGGCAUCCGGAACUGUCAAGCUAGAGGGCAGGAGAGGAAGGUAGAAUUCCCGGUGGAGCGGUGAAAUGCGGAGAGAUCGGGAGGAAAACCAGUGGCGAAGGCGGCCUUCUGGACUGACACUGACACUGAGGUGCGAAAGCGUGGGUAGCAAACAGGAUUAGAUACCCGUGUAGUC